rnacentral:rRNA from 1 species
UACGUAGGGGGCAAGCGUUGCCCGGAUUUAUUGGGCGUAAAGAGCGUGUAGGCGGCUAGGUAGGUCCGUUGUGAAAACUCGAGGCUCAACCUCGAGACGCCGGUGGAAACCGUAAAGCUAGAGUCCGGAAGAGGAGAGUGGAAUUCCUGGUGUAGCGGUGAAAUGCGCAGAUAUCAGGAGGAACACCCGUGGCGAAAGCGGCUCUCUGGGACGGUACUGACGCUGAGACGGCGAAAGCGUGGGGAGCAAACAGG